rnacentral:rRNA from 1 species
UACGUAGGGUGCAAGCGUUAAUCGGAAUUACUGGGCGUAAAGCGUGCGCAGGCGGUUCGUUGUGUCUGUGGUGAAAGCCCCGGGCUUAACCUGGGAAUGGCCAUGGAAACUGGCAAGCUGGAGUGUGGCAGAGGGGGGUGGAAUUCCGCGUGUAGCAGUGAAAUGCGUAGAGAUGCGGAGGAACACCGAUGGCGAAGGCAGCCCCCUGGGUUGACACUGACGCUCAGGCACGAAAGCGUGGGGAGCAAACAGG